rnacentral:rRNA from 1 species
ACACUCCUACGGGAGGCAGCAGUGGGGAAUAUUGCACAAUGGGCGCAAGCCUGAUGCAGCCAUGCCGCGUGUAUGAAGAAGGCCUUCGGGUUGUAAAGUACUUUCAGCGGGGAGGAAGGCGAUAAGGUUAAUAACCUUGUCGAUUGACGUUACCCGCAGAAGAAGCACCGGCUAACUCCGUGCCAGCAGCCGCGGUAAUACGGAGGGUGCAAGCGUUAAUCGGAAUUACUGGGCGUAAAGCGCACGCAGGCGGUCUGUCAAGUCGGAUGUGAAAUCCCCGGGCUCAACCUGGGAACUGCAUUCGAAACUGGCAGGCUAGAGUCUUGUAGAGGGGGGUAGAAUUCCAGGUGUAGCGGUGAAAUGCGUAGAGAUCUGGAGGAAUACCGGUGGCGAAGGCGGCCCCCUGGACAAAGACUGACGCUCAGGUGCGAAAGCGUGGGGAGCAAACAGGAUUAGAAACCCGUGUAGUCCCAUGA